rnacentral:lncRNA from 1 species
GCCUCGUCUGAGAUGUGCAGAAAGCUCACACCAGUUUAACGAUACAUGAAUUCUGCUCUGUCAUAACCAUACGAUGCCAAAAAGACCUGCUGCUGCUUCGAGUGACUGACUGCUCAUCUGAUGGGCCUCAGUUCUGAAGUCCAAAAUGAGAUUCCUCUGCUUAAGGACUGGCUAUUCAGAGAUGCACUUGGAGUCCUGUGGCUGCUCCUGAAAUCAGUGGGAACUGACUUCAGGCACCACUGAAACUCACUCCUGGCACUCCCAGAUGCCUUUUUUUAAUUGAAGAUGCUUGGAUGUUACAAGGUGCUUCUAACAAGAAGAAUGCAGUGUGCGUCAUGCACCGAAGUCGCACUGUAACAGGAACAGAAGCAGCUGUGUUUGCACUGCCCACUCACAGAUCCCCAAAUACUGAGGAUGCAAUGGCAGAAGGACACAGAAGCACUUCAGAGAUUCUGCAGUUACAGCAUGCAAUGGUUUCCUGUAAGUAUUUUAAUUCUUUUAUAAUGGAAAAGAGCAGCUUUAAAUGGAGAAGCAGAUGAGGAGAGAGUGUGAGACAUCUCACAACGGAGCAUUCAGGUGCCCUGCUAGGCAGGGUUAAUGGGUGCUGUCCUGCACUCAGUCUGCUCCUGGGAACCCCUGAAAUGUCAAAGUGUGCAAAACAAGAUUGUGAACCGAGUCCUGCUUGUUUUAAAUGGAGAUUGCAGGGCAGCACUGAGCUCAAAUGCAGACUAUUGAGACACG